AUUUUCCAAAUUCUUUGUUAGCCAGAGUUUUGAAAGCUAAAUAUUUCCCACAUUCAAGUUUCUUAAAUGCAGAGUUGGGGAAUUUACCUUCAUUUACCUGGAAGAGCAUUUGGGCAGCAAGAGGACUCCUCCAAAGAGGGUUGGGUUGGAGAGUUGGUAAAGGUAAUAGCAUUUCUAUUUGGGAAGACAACUGGAUUAAGGGGAUCGAUAAGGUGGAUGAACAAAAUAGAACAAACAGAAGGGAACUACAAUUAGUUUCAGACCUCAUUGAUAAUUCAAGCAGAAAAUGGAAGUCAGACUUAAUUAAUAGUACCUUUCAAGAAGAUAUUGCUCGGAAGAUUCUACUAAUUCCCCUGGCAGAGAUCGAACAUGAGGAUAUUCAGGUGUGGAGUAGAGAACUAUCUGGUCAGUUUUCAGUACGUAGUGCCUAUAAACUAUUACAAGAUGCUUCUGCAGCCAAUGACUACUUAUUUCAGACCGAAAUAAAAAAUUUGUACAAAAAAUUAUGGGGCCAACAAUUGCCAUCAAAAAUUGCAAUUACAAUUUGGAGGAUUUCAUGGGAUUAUAUCCCUCAUUUUGGAAAUCUCAGAUUAAGGAGGGUCAUUUCAACUACCUGUUGUCCACGAUGUAACUCUGGAGUUGAAGAGAGUCUUCAAGUUUUCCGAGAGUGUC
rnacentral:lncRNA from 1 species